rnacentral:rRNA from 1 species
CCGACGGUGAGAGACGAAAGCUAGGGGCACGAACCGGAUUAGAUACCCGGGUAGUCCUAGCCGUAAACGAUACUCGCUAGGUGUCGGCAACGGUGCGACCGUUGUCGGUGCCGUAGGGAAGCCGUGAAGCGAGCCACCUGGGAAGUACGGCCGCAAGGCUGAAACUUAAAGGAAUUGGCGGGGGAGCACCACAACGGGUGGAGCUUGCGGUUUAAUUGGAUUCAACGCCGGAAAUCUUACCGGGACCGACAGCAAUAUGAAGGCCAGGCUGAAGACUUUGCCGGAUUAGCUGAGAGGUGGUGCAUGGCCGUCGUCAGUUCGUACUGUGAAGCAUCCUGUUAAGUCAGGCAACGAGCGAGACCCACGCCCACAGUUGCC